AGAGUUUGACCCUGGCUCAGGAUGAACGCUGGCGGCGUGCCUAACACAUGCAAGUCGAACGGAGCUACUUUGGUGAAGUUUUCGGAUGGAUCUGAUUUAACUUAGUGGCGGACGGGUGAGUAAUGCGUGAGCAACCUGCCCUUCAGAGGGGGACAACAGUUGGAAACGACUGCUAAUACCGCAUAAUGUAUUCGGAAGGCAUCUUCUGAAUACCAAAGGAGAAAUCCGCUGAGGGAUGGGCUCACGUCUGAUUAGUUAGUUGGUGAGGUAACGGCUCACCAAGACUGCGAUCAGUAGCCGGACUGAGAGGUUGAACGGCCACAUUGGGACUGAGAUACGGCCCAGACUCCUACGGGAGGCAGCAGUGGGGAAUAUUGGGCAAUGGGCGAAAGCCUGACCCAGCAACGCCGCGUGAAGGAAGAAGGCCUUCGGGUUGUAAACUUCUUUUAAGAGGGACGAAGAAGUGACGGUACCUCUUGAAUAAGCCACGGCUAACUACGUGCCAGCAGCCGCGGUAAUACGUAGGUGGCGAGCGUUAUCCGGAUUUACUGGGUGUAAAGGGCGCGUAGGCGGGAAUGCAAGUCAGAUGUGAAAUCCAGGGGCUUAACCCUUGAACUGCAUUUGAAACUGUAUUUCUUGAGUGUCGGAGAGGUUGACGGAAUUCCUAGUGUAGCGGUGAAAUGCGUAGAUAUUAGGAGGAACACCAGUGGCGAAGGCGGUCAACUGGACGAUAACUGACGCUGAAGCGCGAAAGCGUGGGGAGCAAACAGGAUUAGAUACCCUGGUAGUCCACGCCGUAAACGAUGAAUACUAGGUGUGGGGGGACUGACCCCUUCCGUGCCGCAGUUAACACAAUAAGUAUUCCACCUGGGGAGUACGACCGCAAGGUUGAAACUCAAAGGAAUUGACGGGGGCCCGCACAAGCAGUGGAUUAUGUGGUUUAAUUCGAAGCAACGCGAAGAACCUUACCAGGGCUUGACAUCCAACUAACGAAGCAGAGAUGCAUUAGGUGCCCUUCGGGGAAAGUUGAGACAGGUGGUGCAUGGUUGUCGUCAGCUCGUGUCGUGAGAUGUUGGGUCAAGUCCCGCAACGAGCGCAACCCCUAUCUUCAGUAGCCAGCGGUAAGGCCGGGCACUCUGGAGAGACUGCCAGGGAUAACCUGGAGGAAGGUGGGGAUGACGUCAAAUCAUCAUGCCCCUUAUGAGCAGGGCUACACACGUGCUACAAUGGCGUAAACAAAGGGAAGCAGAGUCGUGAGGCCGAGCAAAUCCCAAAAAUAACGUCUCAGUUCGGAUUGUAGUCUGCAACUCGACUACAUGAAGCUGGAAUCGCUAGUAAUCGCGAAUCAGAAUGUCGCGGUGAAUACGUUCCCGGGUCUUGUACACACCGCCCGUCA
rnacentral:rRNA from 1 species